GGCCGCGGGAAUUCGAUUGGCCUAACACAUGCAAGUCGAGCGGUAGAGAGAAGCUUGCUUCUCUUGAGAGCGGCGGACGGGUGAGUAAUGCCUAGGAAUCUGCCUGGUAGUGGGGGAUAACGUUCGGAAACGGACGCUAAUACCGCAUACGUCCUACGGGAGAAAGCAGGGGACCUUCGGGCCUUGCGCUAUCAGAUGAGCCUAGGUCGGAUUAGCUAGUUGGUGAGGUAAUGGCUCACCAAGGCGACGAUCCGUAACUGGUCUGAGAGGAUGAUCAGUCACACUGGAACUGAGACACGGUCCAGACUCCUACGGGAGGCAGCAGUGGGGAAUAUUGGACAAUGGGCGAAAGCCUGAUCCAGCCAGGCCGCGUGUGUGAAGAAGGUCUUCGGAUUGUAAAUCAAGGACUGUGGGAGGAAGGGCAGUUACCUAAUACGUGA
rnacentral:rRNA from 1 species